GUGGGGAAUAUUGGGCAAUGGGCGAAAGCCUGACCCAGCAACGCCGCGUGAAGGAAGAAGGCUUUCGGGUUGUAAACUUCUUUGACAGGGGAAGAGUAGAAGACGGUACCCUGAAAACAAGCCACGGCUAACUACGUGCCAGCAGCCGCGGUAAUACGUAGGUGGCAAGCGUUGUCCGGAUUUACUGGGUGUAAAGGGCGUGCAGCCGGGAAGGCAAGUCAGAUGUGAAAUCCGUGGGCUUAACCCACGAACUGCAUUUGAAACUGCUUUUCUUGAGUAUCGGAGAGGUAAUCGGAAUUCCUAGUGUAGCGGUGAAAUGCGUAGAUAUUAGGAAGAACACCAGUGGCGAAGGCGGAUUACUGGACGACAACUGACGGUGAGGCGCGAAAGCGUGGGGAGCAAACAGG
rnacentral:rRNA from 1 species